UCUCUUGAUCUGGGAUCUAGGAAAAAAUACUAGGACAUCAGAAUCAACUGAAUGAAGGGAUAGAAAAAAAAAUCCAAGAAAUUGGGAACAAGGGAAGUCUGCAAAGCUCCUGGUCCCACAACGUCUACAAUCCCAAGCCCAAUAUCCCGUUGUAGAAGCACUUAUUCUGAAAUCAUAAAAACAACUUCAACCCAUAAAUUCUCAUCUCUCAACACAGUGACCACCCACAGACGGGUUUUUACGAAAAUGAAGAGUUCCCCUAGAAGCCUUAACUCUGAGGGUCAUCAAAAUUAGAACAAUCUUUUUUGAGCUUACACACUGCUGUCCUCAAGGGGUGCUCUGGGGUCAGUCUGAAACUGAAGUGAUAUCAGACCUCUCUGACACUUAUUUCUAGUGUCAGUAUCUGCCAGCAACCCGCCAAGAGCAAAAGUCCAGGAAGCCCCUUCAGGGAGAAAGUUUCUCACUCUGGAUCCCAAUUCUACUCUGAAAAAUUCAACUGUACAACUAAUAUUUUACAACAAAGAGGUUCCAUUUUAAAAACCCAAGGACACAGGGCUUCAAAACAAAGCCAAAGAGCUGCCUGCUGUAUUUCUGUACUCUUAUAACACAGUGAGAUCCAAGGACUUCCAACCAUCUGUGUGCCAACCCCCAGCUACUCUAAGACGUAAAAAGUGGAACAAAGGAGUUUGUGGCUGCAAAGAUGGAGAGAAAAUGAUGGCUUAAAAGAAAACCAGACUAUUAAUUAUAGCAUUGGAAAGAGAAUAACAGACUCCUGAUUACAGAACUACAAAGAAAAGAAGACAGGGGGUGGCGAGGGGAGACUACACUUUAUAAUCAAAAUAAAUCUGAAAAUAUAGACUAAAGUCUGCCUCUAACUGGGAGUGUGGCAGCAUCUUUUUGUCUCUCAAUUUAAUAUCUUUUUAUGUCAACUGAUUUUCCUUACA
rnacentral:lncRNA from 1 species